rnacentral:tRNA from 1 species
AGCGAUAAAAUUUUCACUUACAAUGAAAAGUACCUGGUAGGCGCUUUUUAACUUACGUUAUUGUUUAA